AAUCCCAUGCCUUUGCUACUUCGAGUUGAUCCCGAAACCUUGCCGACAAUUCUUUCUCCAUUUGUUGAGGCUCCUCCGAAAAUCUUAACAUUUUUGGGCGCUUCAAAAAUCCCCCCUUGUUCAAACCAUUUGAAUUAAAUUCAAAUGCUUUUAAUUUGAAACUUUGCAAUCUUGCUCACUCCAAUUCUAGUUGUGGUGCUUUGAUAUAUGUCCUAGUAGCCCAUGCCAAAUUCCAGCUUGAUUCGAAUUUAUUUGACCCUUCAAAUAAAUUUGUAACCUUCCUUUUUUUCCCUUCUUGUGUUGGAAUUAAAAAAAAGAAAACAUUUCUUUUCUGUCAGGCCCCAACUCUUUUCUCUCUCCCUCCCCUUCUAUUCGUGGUAGCUAGCCCAGCAGACAGGCUGGCCCACCUAGGCCAUCCUCACAGGCCCACUCCCUCCUAACCCUACCCGAUCCCCUCCUCUCUCUCGUUUUUCCCCUUGCGCCGCCAGGAGAUAACGAGCGCGUUCCUCAUGCCCGAUCCCCACGCUGCUCUGCUUCAUCCCGUUCCCCUUUGCCCCCUCGAUGCCUCGCAGCUGCCGCCUCGUCUCGCAGGCCCGCCGUCGUCGUCCGCCGCUUCCCCGGCAUCCUCACUGUCGCUUCGCCCGAGCCCCACUCCCGGCGACCAGGCGCCCCUGCAGUCUCCCUCCUGCCCGCGUCGCCGCCUUCACCUCGCCAGGAGGCCGACGACCACCAACGCACCCCCCCCCCCCCCCCCCUGCGCACCUUCCAUUGCUCGCCUUCGAGCUCCCCUGUGCUCCGUCACCCCGCUGUUGCGAGGAAACGAUGGUCGCCUACCCUCCUCUCGUCUUCAGCUACAGGCGUGUUCGACGAGAUGAAUGCCUCGCCAGCAGAGCACCCCGGAGAUUGCCGUCACCGGGAAACACUAGGUCCGGCGACCCGUCGAUCCGCCAGGAUCCGCUCGCCACCUCGCCGACCCGCUGUUUCCCGCGCCUACCGACCCCGUCGCAAGCCCCUGGCGCCGCCUCCAUGCUUCAUCGGGACGCCUUGUUUCCUCUUCUGUUCGGCCACAAGUGCAUCGACCCUCGUACAGAGCACCGGGGCACUAGUUUCUUUUGUUUGCGGGUGCUUCGUUUGUUGCUUCAUGGAAACAUCGCCAAGUACCUCUAGGAUCGCUGUAUCGCCAAGACCGUCUCAAAUUAUGACAAGUACCACUACACCUGGAGAUGUAACGAGUAGAGGAAGACCCGAAUGUCUACGAAACAUGUACGACUGCCGUUGUUUUGGGUUCGAUAAGGUGCCGAGUAUCACUAUGUUUGCCAUAUACAUCUACACCAAGACCGGUUCGACAAGUA